rnacentral:misc_RNA from 1 species
AAGUCGUAACAAGGUUUCCGUAGGUGAACCUGCGGAAGGAUCAUUAUCAAAUUCUAUUAUUAAACUUUGUGAAUCGCUAUUAUUUUAUAUAAUAGUUUAUUAUAAUACUUAUUGUCUUUUAUAUUUAAAAAUUAUUAUAUAACUUUUAACAAUGGAUCUCUUGGCUCUU